GUGGGGAAUAUUGGGCAAUGGGCGAAAGCCUGACCCAGCAACGCCGCGUGAAGGAAGAAGGUUUUCGGAUCGUGAACUUCUAUCCUUGGUGAAGAUAAUGACGGAAGCCAAGAAGGAAGCCCCGGCUAACUACGUGCCAGCAGCCGCGGUAAUACGUAGGGGGCAAGCGUUGUCCGGAAUGAUUGGGCGUAAAGGGCGCGUAGGCGGCCCGGUAAGUCUGAAGUGAAAGUCCUGCUUUUAAGGUGGGGAUUGCUUUGGAUACGGUCAGGCUUGAGUGCAGGAGAGGUAAGCGGAAUUCCCGGUGUAGCGGUGAAAUGCGUAGAGAUCGGGAGGAACACCAGUGGCGAAGGCGGCUUACUGGACUGUAACUGACGCUGAGGCGCGAAAGUGUGGGGAGCAAACAGGAUUAGAAACCCCGGUAGUCC
rnacentral:rRNA from 1 species